rnacentral:rRNA from 1 species
UACGUAGGGUGCAAGCGUUAAUCGGAAUUACUGGGCGUAAAGCGUGCGCAGGCGGUUAUGUAAGACAGAUGUGAAAAUCCCCCGGGCUCAACCUGGGAACUGCAUUUGUGACUGCAUAGCUAGAGUACGGUAGAGGGGGGAUGGAAUUCCGCGUGUAGCAGUGAAAUGCGUAGAUAUGCGGAGGAACACCGAUGGCGAAGGCAAUCCCCCUGGACCUGUACUGACGCUCAUGCACGAAAGCGUGGGGGAGCAAACAGG